rnacentral:rRNA from 1 species
GAUGAACGCUGGCGGCGUGCCUAAUACAUGCAAGUCGAGCGAACAGACGAGGAGCUUGCUCCUCUGACGUUAGCGGCGGACAGGUGAGUAACACGUGGAUAACCUACCUAUAAGACUGGGAUAAAUUCGGGAAACCGGAGCUAAUACCGGAUAAUAUAUUGAACCGCAUGGUUCAAUAGUGAAAGACGGUUUUGCUGUCACUUAUAGAUGGAUCCGCGCCGCAUUAGCUAGUUGGUAAGGUAACGGCUUACCAAGGCAACGAUGCGUAGCCGACCUGAGAGGGUGAUCGGCCACACUGGAACUGAGACACGGUCCAGACUCCUACGGGAGGCAGCAGUAGGGAAUCUUCCGCAAUGGGCGAAAGCCUGACGGAGCAACGCUGCGUGAGUGAUGAAGGUCUUCGGAUCGUAAAACUCUGUUAUUAGGGAAGAACAAAUGUGUAAGUAACUAUGCACGUCUUGACGGUACCUAAUCAGAAAGCCACGGCUAACUACGUG